AUUGAACGCUGGCGGCAUGCCUUACACAUGCAAGUCGAACGGCAGCACGGACUUCGGUCUGGUGGCGAGUGGCGAACGGGUGAGUAAUGUAUCGGAACGUACCUUCCAGUGGGGGAUAACGUAGCGAAAGUUACGCUAAUACCGCAUAUUCCGUGAGCAGGAAAGCAGGGGAUCGCAAGACCUUGCGCUGAUUGAGCGGCCGAUACCAGAUUAGCUAGUUGGCGGGGUAAAGGCUCACAACGGCGACGAUCUGUCGCGGGUCUGAGAGGAUGAUCAGCCACACUGGAAGUGAGACACGGUCCAGACUCCGACGGGAGGCAGCAGUGAGGAAUUUUGGACAAUGGGGGCAACGCGGAGCCAGCCGUGCCGCGGGAGUGAAGAAGGCCUUCGGGUUGUAAAGCUCUUUCGGGCGGGAAGAAAUCGCAUAGGUUAAUACCCUGUGUGGAUGACGGUACCGGAAUAAGAAGCACCGGCUAACUACGUGCCAGCCGCCGCGGUAAUAC
rnacentral:rRNA from 1 species